rnacentral:rRNA from 1 species
AGUGAACGCUGGCGGCAGGCCUAACACAUGCAAGUCGAGCGGCAGCGCGGGGGCAACCCUGGCGGCGAGCGGCGGACGGGUGAGGAAUUCGUCGGAAUCUGCCUUUUUGUGGGGGAUAACGUAGGGAAACUUACGCUAAUACCGCAUACGUCCUACGGGAGAAAGUGGGGGACCGCAAGGCCUCACGCAGAAAGAUGAGCCGACGACCGAUUAGCUAGUUGGUGGGGUAAAGGCCCACCAAGGCGACGAUCGGUAGCUGGUCUGAGAGGAUGAUCAGCCACACUGGGACUGAGACACGGCCCAGACUCCUACGGGAGGCAGCAGUGGGGAAUAUUGGACAAUGGGCGCAAGCCUGAUCCAGCCAUGCCGCGUGUGUGAAGAAGGCCUUCGGAUUGUAAAGCACUUUUGUCCGGAAAGAAAUCCCUGGAGCUAAUACCUUCGGGGGAUGACGGUACCGGAAGAAUAAGCACCGGCUAACUUCGUG